UGGGGAAUUUUGGACAAUGGGCGAAAGCCUGAUCCAGCAAUGCCGCGUGUGUGAAGAAGGCCUUCGGGUUGUAAAGCACUUUUGUCCGGAAAGAAAUCCUUGGCUCUAAUACAGUCGGGGGAUGACGGUACCGGAAGAAUAAGCACCGGCUAACUACGUGCCAGCAGCCGCGGUAAUACGUAGGGUGCAAGCGUUAAUCGGAAUUACUGGGCGUAAGCGUGCGCAGGCGGUUGCUAAGACCGAUGUGAAAUCCCCGGGCUCAACCUGGGAACUGCAUUGGUGACUGGCAGGCUAGAGUAUGGCAGAGGGGGGUAGAAUUCCACGUGUAGCAGUGAAAUGCGUAGAGAUGUGGAGGAAUACCGAUGGCGAAGGCAGCCCCCUGGGCCAAUACUGACGCUCAUGCACGAAAGCGUGGGGAGCAAACAGGAUUAGAUACCCUGGUAGUCCACGCCCUAAACGAUGUCAACUAGUUGUUGGGGAUUCAUUUCCUUAGUAACGUAGCUAACGCGUGAAGUUGACCGCCUGGGGAGUACGGUCGCAAGAUUAAAA
rnacentral:rRNA from 1 species